rnacentral:rRNA from 1 species
GUGGGUAGUUUGACUGGGGCGGUCUCCUCCCAAAGAGUAACGGAGGAGCACGAAGGUUAGCUAAUCCUGGUCGGACAUCAGGAGGUUAGUGCAAUGGCAUAAGCUAGCUUGACUGCGAGAGUGACGGCUCGAGCAGGUGCGAAAGCAGGUCAUAGUGAUCCGGUGGUUCUGAAUGGAAGGGCCAUCGCUCAACGGAUAAAAGGUACUCCGGGGAUAACAGGCUGAUACCGCCCAAGAGUUCAUAUCGACGGCGGUGUUUGGCACCUCGAUGUCGGCUCAUCACAUCCUGGGGCUGAAGUAGGUCCCAAGGGUAUGGCUGUUCGCCAUUUAAAGUGGUACGCGAGCUGGGUUUAGAACGUCGUGAGACAGUUCGGUCCCUAUCUGCCGUGGGCGCUGGAGAAUUGAGGGGGGCUGCUCCUAGUACGAGAGGACCGGAGUGGACGCAUCACUGGUGUU